CCUACGGGAGGCAGCAGUAAGGAAUAUUGGACAAUGGACGCAAGUCUGAUCCAGCCAUGCCGCGUGAAGGAUUAAGGCCCUCUGGGUUGUAAACUUCUUUUAUAGGGGACGAAAAAAGGGCUUUCUAGCUCGACUGACGGUACCCUAUGAAUAAGCACCGGCUAACUCCGUGCCAGCAGCCGCGGUAAUACGGAGGGUGCAAGCGUUAUCCGGAUUCACUGGGUUUAAAGGGUGCGUAGGCGGGCAUUUAAGUCAGUGGUGAAAUCUUCAAGCUCAACUUGGAAACUGCCAUUGAUACUAUUUGUCUUGAAUAUUGUGGAGGUGAGCGGAAUAUGUCAUGUAGCGGUGAAAUGCUUAGAUAUGACAUAGAACACCGAUUGCGAAGGCAGCUCGCUACACAAAUAUUGACGCUGAGGCACGAAAGCGUGGGGAUCAAACAGGAUUAGAUACCCUGGUAGUCCACGCCCUAAACCUAUGGAUACUCGACAUUUGCGAUACACAGUAAGUGUCUGAGCGAAAGCAUUAAGUAUCCACCUGGGAGUUACGACCGCAAGGUUGAACUUCAAUGAAUUGACGG
rnacentral:rRNA from 1 species